rnacentral:rRNA from 1 species
ACUCCUACGGGAGGCAGCAGUGGGGAAUAUUGCGCAAUGGUCGAAAGACUGACGCAGCGACGCCGCGUGUGGGACGAAGCCCUUCGGGGUGUAAACCACUGUCAGGAGGGAAGAAUCCCGAUCGUUCGAAUAGGGCGGUCGGCUGACGGUACCUCCAGAGGAAGCGCCGGCUAACUCCGUGCCAGCAGCCGCGGUAAGACGGAGGGCGCAAGCGUUGUUCGGAAUUACUGGGCGUAAAGCGCGUGCAGGCGGUCUUCUAAGUCCACUGUGAAAACCCGGAGCUCAACUCCGCGGAAUGCAGUGGAUACUGGAAGACUAGAGACCGGUAGAGGCCAGUGGAAUUCUUGGUGUAGCGGUGGAAUGCGUAGAUAUCAAGAGGAACACCGGUGGCGAAGGCGACUGGCUGGGCCGGGUCUGACGCUCAUGCGCGAAAGCGUGGGGAGCAAACAGGAUUAGAAACCCCAGUAGUCC